GCCUUUUGAAAACACACAAGAAAAGCUUCUCCCAUUUCUAGCUCUCAGCUGCCAGUGGGUAGGCUCUGGCUUCCUGGAGCGAAUCCUAAGCCUAGGCAGGGAAGCUUUUCAAGGCCUCCAAGAUGUGGAUUGAGGGCAGGCUCCUGCAUUUGAGAGCCCUGUGCCUGAAAUACCAUCGUGAGCGCUUCAUGCUUUAGGAUUCCAGGCACCAUCCCUGGCAAAAUGCAGAUUGUCUUGAGGCAGCACAUGAAAGGCGUGGGUGGCAGCGAUGAGGACCGAGCUCUUCUUUUCCUGCUUCCCUCUCCUUUCUUCUUCCCUCCCCUGUCCUCAUUCCCUGCCUUCUGUCUUGCCCACUCCCACCCCAUUUUCUGUUCCCUACCCAUUUCCAUUUUCAGCCCUUCUACCUUCUCCCUACUCUCUUCUCUCCUCCUCCCUUUGGCUGUCUUCCCCCUUGCUCCCUGGGAAGCAGCAUCCUGUUUCUGCCUUCCAAGGAUAUUUCUAGAAUCUGUUGGGGUUCCUGAGAGAGGGAGACCACCUGCCACUGGCAUUGAAAAAGGUAAUAUUUUGUGAAUCCUAAUUUGGGAGAAAACACAGUCAACUUCAAUUGCUAGCUCAUUUGGGAGACUUAGGAAACCAGAGACCAGGAAUGUCAUCUACAAGAAUUAUAUAGGAUUCAAGAACUCAGGUUAUUUAAGAACAUUGUUUGAUUCUGGAAACUUGGUUUGUAAGAAUUAUAUGGAUUUAUGGAAUGUUAGCCUCUAGGAAUGUGUUUCUAGAUACAAUGGUUGAAAGAACUUCAGGUGAUUCUGGAACAUUGACCUGUAAAAAUGAUAUGUGAUUUGCAAUUUUGGCUUUUAACAAUGUUAUGCCAUUUUAUAACCUUAUGUGCUUCUGGAAACUUGAUUUAUAAUAAACUUAUAUGUUUCUGAAAACUUGGUUUAUUAAAACAUUAUGUGAUUCUGAAAACUUGGCUUGAAAUAAAUAUGUUUGAUUCCAGGAUCAUAGCUGUCAGAAUAGCACUAUGAUCACAUGGUAUGGCAUCAGAAACUUGCUCUAUAAGAAUAUUGUGUGAAUCUGGAAGCCUAGUCUACAAGAAGUUCAGUUUAAUUUUGGAAUCUUGAUCUCCAUGUACGUUGGCUGGUAG
rnacentral:lncRNA from 1 species